AACAGCAAUCUCAGUUUCUGGAUCUACAGCGGCAGUUGCUUCAUCCAUAACAAGUAUCUAAAAUAAAUGCAUCAACAUUGAACGAAACAUUCUUCAGGAUAAUGGGAGCCUCUUCUCCGUACGCCAUGCUUACAUUUUGGAAUUUUAUACUUGCUGCCACUGGCCAACCUGAUGGUGGUUGAAGGAUUCGUUGACUGAUGUUACCCUCGCCUACUAAUGUCUACGAAACUAAUCUUAUAGUGUAUUGAAAUACACCCGAGAUGUGUGCUGCAUAUGAAAGAGCAAGACCAGCUAAGGCUGGUGGAAGUUCGCCUUGUAAAGCUAUUACCAAGAAUGCAGUUAUUGCUAUUACUGUUGCUGAUAAACAGUCGACUCUCACUGCAAGCCACCUCAUGGCUAUCGAACACAUGAACAUACACUGGCUAUUUUCAUCAAACAUGCAAUUGAACCUGUAGAGAACAAAAAUCAUAUAUUGACGUCCCGAGCUCGAGUGAUGAAACUUCUCCGACUUCACGCAUCAAGAAAUCACGAGUGAAAGAAAGUUGAAAGAAUUGAUGGUCAUAUGAAAUUUAUUGACACUGAAAAUUCAUCUUUCGAGUAGGUAUUCACCUGGAGUACCCAAUAUCUCAUCAUUUUCUGUGGCAGUAUCGGUGUUGGUGUCGGUGCCCGGAGAACUAACUUCAUUCUCCUUAUCGGGUAAGCUGUUGUCAACUGAUUGUAAGUUGGGCC
rnacentral:lncRNA from 1 species